CCUACGGGCGGUAGCAGUAGGGAAUUUUCGGCAAUGGGGGGAACCCUGACCGAGCAACGCCGCGUGAACGAAGAAGUUAUUCGUAAUGUAAAGUUCUUUUAACAGGGAAGAAAGAGAAAUUUGACGGUACCUGAUGAAUAAGCCCCGGCAAACUACGUGCCAGCAGCCGCGGUAAGACGGAGGGAUCGUGCGUUAUCCGGAAUUAUUGGGCGUAAAGGGUGCGUAGAUGGCGUAGUAAGUCUUUUGUAAAAAUGCUGGGCUAAACCCAGCAGGGCAAAAGAUACUGCCAAACUAGAGUAUGACAGGGGCAAAUGGAACUAGAUGUGUAGCGGUAAAAUGCGUAGAUAUAUGUAAGAACACCAGUGGCGAAGGC
rnacentral:rRNA from 1 species